CCCCAGGUCAGGCGGGACUACCCGCUGAGUUUAAGCAUAUAAAUAAGCGGAGGAGAAGAAACUUACAAGGAUUCCCCUAGUAACGGCGAGCGAACCGGGAACAGCCCAGCUUGAGAAUGCGGCGGCUGUGCCGUCCGAAUUGUAGUCUGGAGACGCGUCCUCAGCGACGGACCGGGCCCAAGUCCCCUGGAAAGGGGCGCCUGGGAGGGUGAGAGCCCCGUCCGGCCCGGACCCUGUCGCCCCACGAGGCGCGGUC
rnacentral:ncRNA from 1 species